AAUAUAAAGGAAACAGCAGCCUUCUUCUUCCUCAUUAGUUGCUGCAACGCCAAAACAGAAUUGGAGGAAAGGGAGAGAAGCUCUCAAACCCUAACCCUUUGAUCCACCAUAACUCCUCCGUCCGGGCUCCGAUCGCCGCACCGUUCGCGGCCACGCGCUCAGCGCGUCGAGCUCUACCUUUUUAUCUGAACAAUUUCAUUGGUUCAAGUUAGCUUCCGGAACUUGUGGGCUCAAGCUAUUGAGCAUAUGAGUGUAGUUUAAGAGGGUGUUUAUGCAUUGAACUUGAAUUUGGAUUACUUGGAGCUUUGUUGGUGACAAGGCUUGC